rnacentral:rRNA from 1 species
AAAAGCUCAAAUUUAAAAUCUGGUAGCCUUUGGUUGCCCGAGUUGUAAUCUAGAGAAGCGCUAUCCGCGUUGGACCGUGUAUAAGUCUCCUGGAAUGGAGCGUCAUAGAGGGUGAGAAUCCCGUCUUUGACACGGACUACCAAGGCUUUGUGAUACGCUCUCAAAGAGUCGAGUUGUUUGGGAAUGCAGCUCUAAAUGGGUGGUAAAUUCCAUCUAAAGCUAAAUAUUGGCGAGAGACCGAUAGCGAACAAGUACCGUGAGGGAAAGAUGAAAAGAACUUUGGAAAGAGAGUUAAACAGUACGUGAAAUUGUUGAAAGGGAAACGCUUGAAGUCAGUCGCGUUGUCCAGGGAUCAACCUUGCUUUUGCUUGGUGUACUUUCUGGUUAACGGGUCAACAUCAAUUUUGACCAGUGGAAAAAGAUUAAAGGAAUGUGGCAUCUUCGGAUGUGUUAUAGCCUUUGGUCGUAUACAUUGGUUGGGAUUGAGGAACUCAGCACGCCGCAAGGCCGGGUUUUUAACCACGUUCGUGCUUAGGAUGUUGGCAUAAUGGCUUUAAUCGACCCGUCUUGAAACACGGACCAAGGAGUCUAACAUGCCUGCGAGUAUUUGGGUGGAAGACCCAAGUGCGUAAUGAAAGUGAAAGUUGGGAUCUCUGUCGUGGAGAGCACCGACGCCCGGACCAGACCUUUUGUGACGGAUCCGCGGUAGAGCAUGUAUGUUGGGACCCGAAAGAUGGUGAACUAUGCCUGAAUAGGGUGAAGC